rnacentral:lncRNA from 1 species
GCCUUUUUGACUUUAUACCAUAAAGUACACUUUCCUCAUAAGCACUAAAAACUAUUUGAAGCAUAAUUUUAUGGCUUCCUAAUACAUUUUGUACUUCUUAAUUUACAAUUUACCUAUUGUCAAACAAUAGUAUUAUUCAAAGUUUUGGGUUUUUUUUUUUUUUUUUUAAGUAUUAUAAGGCCCAGUGUGGUGGCUCACGCCUGUAAUCCCAGCACUUUGGGAGGCCAAGGCGGGUGGAUCACGAGGUCAAGAGAUCGAGACCAUCCUGGUCAACAUGGUGAAACCCCAUCUCUACUAAAAAAAAAAUACAAAAAAUUAGCUGGGCAUGGUGGUGCGUGCCUGUAAUCCCAGCUACUCAGGAGGCUGAGGCAGGAGAAUUGCCUGAACCCAGGAGGCAGAGGUUGCGGUGAGUCGAGAUCGCGCCAUUGCACUCCAGCCUGGGUAACAAGAGCGAAACUCCGUCUCAAAAACAACAACAACAACAAAAGUAUUAUAACCAAAGCUAUAUGAAGCACUUGUAUGUAAAUCUUUGCAUUUAUUAUUUCUUAACGUUGAUUUACAGGAGUGUUAUUAAAGGAUGAAAUUGUGCAGUGAAUAUCUGUUGAGUUUUCCUGACUCUCCUCCAUUUCCCCUUACUUUGGAGAAUCACACUGUAUCCCAAGGAGCUUGGAUAAAGCUGACUCCAUCCCUGGCUUCAAGGGAAAUUUCUUCAAUUCACCCUUGAGGAGUAGAGAUCUGAUAAGAAAAGGAAUGUCUUAUUUUGUCUCCCAGUCUGGAGUGCAGUAGUUCCAUCUCAGCUCACUACAACAUCUACCUCCUGGGUUCAAGAGAUUCUCUGGCCUCAGCCUCCCAAGUAGCUGGGAUUAAAAGUACCCACCACAACACCCCGCUAAUUUUUGUAUUUUUAAUUGAGACGGGGUUUCACCAUGUUAGCCAUGCUAGUCUUGAACUCCCAACCUCAGGUAUCUGCCUGCCUCAGCCUCUGAAAGUGCUGGGAUUACAGGCAUGAGCCACUGCACCUGGCCACUAGGACAUAACUUAAGGUCAGUGACCCCAUAGUAUCUAAUCCUGUGUCCUGAGCGCAGUGUAGUACCUGGACCCUGGUGAGUAGCAACAAUUACUUAUCUAAAUGAAUGAAUGAGGCCAGCUUGUUCUUGGAAAAACUGUAUGUCUAUUAUGCUGAAUUAUAGCUCUGUAUUAUUUUG